rnacentral:lncRNA from 1 species
AUGCCAGGGCCCUGGAGGCCUGGUGGGUCUGUUGUGCCAAAAGUGCAGCCUGGCCUGCCCCAGAGCCAGCUGCAACCAAGAUUUCACCGCAGCCAUUCCUGCAACAAAUUGGGGAUGGCCAACAGCCUGCCUGACACUGGGGCGUGGACUGUGUGUACCCACUGCACCUGGGAGCUGAAACACCUCGGGUUCUGUCUGAAUACUCCUGUGGCCUGGAUCAGUGGCUCUGCUCUGAGCUGCAGCUUCUGUGUUGGCAGGAUCCAGGCAGACAGAAGCUGCUCUGCUCCUCCUCCUCAGGCCCCCCUGGCCUCCACUGUGAUGUCUGCCAGGGACAGCCACCAGUGACCCUGUUAAUUAAAACCACAGCAUCGGGGCAGGAAGCACAUUACAAACUCUCAAGUCGUGUUUCCCUAAUAGAAAUCUCACUGUGGAGGUGUCUGAGGAGGUCAGGCCGACCAGAAGAACCUGUCAGCCUCAAAUGAACUCAAACAGGCUUUCUUCGUUUACUCACCUGGGGGCCUGGAGGCAGAGCGGGGAGAAGUGCCUGCCAUCUGCCAUGGAUCAGGGCAGCCCCCCACACCUGGAGCCCCAGAUUCCAUCCUGGGACCGGGAGAUGGAGGAGAGAGCCGGGCUCACAUGGAAGAUGAGGAACGGCUGAGUGGCUGCUUCAGAAAGCAUUGACCCAGGCAUCUGGGAGUGAGCCUGACCGGUGACCUCUGCGCAGAGCUGUCUGUAAUCAGGCAGCUAUAGUCGACUGGAAAUUCACUGUAAAGUUGUGGCUGUGACUGGGGAAUGGCUCUGUCUGGGAUCCAUUAGUCACACACAGAAUUCCUCCUUUCCGCGUUUCCUGGUCCAGGUCGCCACUUUGAAUGCUCACGGCUUUUUGCAAUUGGCAGCGUCUCAGGCCAGACUGAGCUAGCUCCUUGGAGGAAGCUGGAGUGACUUGAACAGGCCCAGAGGGAAAGGGCGGCAGAGAGCCUUUUGAACGUGUGCGACCAAGCCUUCUGUGGUGGAAGGGGCCCCACUCCUGCCUCCGUGGGGUUAACUUAUUCGGGGGUUCUCGGGCUAAUUUGUGAAAUUACAUCUUCUCACAGGGCCGGGAGAGAACAGCCUUAAAUAGGGGCAAUUUAAUUCCUGGAUUGCUGUCCUACUCAACGAAAAGCCAAAUUUUAUCCUCUCUCUUUCACUUGCCCAUUUAAAGCCUGAAGCAGUAGGGCUGGGAGGGUGAGGGCCUGGAGUUGCUAUGGAAACAUAGAACCUGGAAGUGGACACACUGCCUGAGUAUAGACCGUGGUCCCUGUGCUGGACAUGGCUGCUCUUCCUCUCCUCUGCCUUUGAGCUCUGCCCACCUGCGGUCCUGGGGAGACCUGGAGACCCCAGGGUCCGGCCUGCCCUGCAGGCACCUGGCUUUUUCCGAGACUCACAGAGCCCUCCUAUCCGCUCCUUCUGGAAUGUUCUCCAAAUCCUCUCCCAAUUCAACUUCCUGUAACUCCACAGCAAGCAACACUCCAUGAUAAAUGGCCAUGCCCAUUACUGUCUUUGUUUUAUUCCUGGCACCUUGGGCCUCUGAUAAGCAGAUGGGGGUUUCAGAUGCCUAGGGGCAGCUCCACCUGAGUCUGUUGGAGCUCAGAAUCCCCCAGUGACCUGCAGCCACAUGAGAGGCCUUCUUGCCUCUCAGCAAGCCCUCCCCUGGAUCCAAGGACAUUCAGUUUUUCCUUAGGGUCAAGUCAUAGUGUCCUCUGAUGGAACCAGGCUGGAAGCCACAAAUUGCUGCUGGCAGAAGCCAGGGGCCUCAGCAAGGGGAACUGUGAACUUCCGGGUGUGGGUUGCAGGGCAGAAAUAUCUGCAGAACUGGUGGCACCUGAUUAAGUCCCCGCGACAGUUUUCUCAAGCCUGACCUUUUUCCCUUCUCCCUGAGCACUGUCNNNNNNNNNNNNNNNNNNNNNNNNNNNNNNNNNNNNNNNNNNNNNNNNNNNNNNNNNNNNNNNNNNNNNNNNNNNNNNNNNNNNNNNNNNNNNNNNNNNUGCAGGGCAGAAAUAUCUGCAGAACUGGCGGCACCUGAUUAAGUCCCCGCGACAGUUUUCUCAAGCCUGAACUUUUUCCCUUCUCCCUGAGCACUGUCACCUCCCACCGGGAUGAUGCCCACAGGCUCUCUCCUCUUCCUCCUGCUCCUCCUUAUAGCAGCCAGGGUGGUCCUUUUAAAAGUCAAUCAGAUCAUGUCUGUCUCUUACUGAAAACCCCUCAAUGGGCUCUCCUCUCAUGGGGAGAAACAGGAGCCCCAGUCAUCUGUCCCUGCCUGUGUCCUCCCCCUCACUUGGUCCAUGCCUGAACCGACUGUAGCAAUCCACAGCCACACUGGCUGCCGUUCUGCUCCUCCCAGAAUCCCCCUCUCUCUUCUACCCCAGGGCCUUUGCGUACACGGUUCCACUGCUGCAGUGCUCUGCCCUUCCUCCCACACUCGGCCAGGAAGGUUUCUUGAAUUUCAUCACCAUCAUCCCUCUUCAGAGAGGCCUCCCUAAAACAAAACACAGAGGGUGCCCUACUAUUGCUCAAGACGUACUCCUGUUUGUGUCCUUCAUAGAAACGAUCAGGCUGCUUAAAGCAUGCUUACGUGUUUGUUUUUCCUGUCUUUUCUACUGUGCUGUUGGGUGUUCCAUCCAGGGCCUUGAACAUAGUAGGUGCUUAUUUUAGUUAAAGAGGUAAUAAGAGUACAGUAGGCUGAUGCUCUUGGAGGCUCAUCUCGGAAAGGGUUCUUUCUUAAUNNNNNNNNNNNNNNNNNNNNNNNNNNNNNNNNNNNNNNNNNUCUGCUCGCCACACUCCCGUUAAAUGGGGGCUCUGCCACCUUGGAGCCUCUUCAUCUGGACUAAAUGUCCUGCGAAGUUUGCCAGGAGGAGGAAGCAAGAGAAAACGAAGGCGUGUGGCUUUCACAGCCUGGCAGCCCUGUGUGCCGUUUCUAUUCUUGUCCAUUUGCCCUGUCCGGCCACACAGCUCCAACUUUCUGGAAAACGGAGGAGGCAGGGUACUGGGUGAGCGUGAACAGGAGGAUCUGGCGCAAGAGAUACUUAUGAGCCAAACGUUCCGUAGGGGAGGGUGACCACACCCAUGGAAACAAGCAUGGAAGCCUCCCUGAGACUUUCCCUGCCUGCGUUCUAGACACUGAUGGUCUCGCUGAACAGCAGGCGAGGACUCAGGACAAAUCCUCCAUUUCCUUUCGCAUGGACUCUCACCCGGGUGAUGGAGUAGCUGUGUCUUCUGCAGGCGGUGUAUGUGUUAGGAGGUGGACAGAGACUCUGCAGCCAUUAUCAGGUGCUGCUUGCCUAAUGUUCCAUGAAGCACCCUGGGAAACAGGCCACCAUGGGAAAUAAAUGAUCAUGUGGGCUCAGGUGACCUCCAGCUGGCUUCAGGGGCACCCUGUUCCCCAAGAGGCCUCAUGCCUUCCUUGUGGCUCCCAGGAAUGGGUGGCAGAAACUAGCCCAGUGAUUUACCUCCUGCCUUCCUGUGACUUCUCCCCAUUCCGUGCGUCUCGUGUUUAAUUAUGAGGCUGUGGAUGGCCGGGAUAUUAAUUACAGGGCUGAGGCUGUGUUACUCAGAGAAAAUCAGUGCACACCUAAUCUCACUUUCCUUAGGAAGGAAAACUGUAUUUUUCCUGAUCUCAACAAGAAUGCCAGGGAAAGGAGUAGAAUCACAUGGAGGAGUUUUAAACUUAUG